rnacentral:rRNA from 1 species
GAUGAACGCUAGCGGGAGGCCUAACACAUGCAAGCCGAGCGGUAUUGUUUCUUCGGAAAUGAGAGAGCGGCGUACGGGUGCGGAACACGUGUGCAACCUGCCUUUAUCUGGGGGAUAGCCUUUCGAAAGGAAGAUUAAUACUCCAUAAUAUAUUGAACGGCAUCGUUUAAUAUUGAAAGCUCCGGCGGAUAGAGAUGGGCACGCGCAAGAUUAGCUAGUUGGUGAGGUAACGGCUCACCAAGGCGAUGAUCUUUAGGGGGCCUGAGAGGGUGAUCCCCCACACUGGUACUGAGACACGGACCAGACUCCUACGGGAGGCAGCAGUGAGGAAUAUUGGUCAAUGGGUGCAAGCCUGAACCAGCCAUCCCGCGUGAAGGACGACUGCCCUAUGGGUUGUAAACUUCUUUUGUAUAGGGAUAAACCUACCCUCGUGAGGGUAGCUGAAGGUACUAUACGAAUAAGCACCGGCUAACUCCGUGCCAGCAGCCGCGGUAAUACGGAGGGUGCAAGCGUUAUCCGGAUUUAUUGGGUUUAAAGGGUCCGUAGGCGGACUUAUAAGUCAGUGGUGAAAGCCUGUCGCUUAACGAUAGAACUGCCAUUGAUACUGUAAGUCUUGAGUAUAUUUGAGGUAGCUGGAAUAAGUAGUGUAGCGGUGAAAUGCAUAGAUAUUACUUAGAACACCAAUUGCGAAGGCAGGUUACCAAGAUAUAACUGACGCUGAGGGACGAGAGCGUGGGGAGCGAACAGGAUUAGAUACCCUGGUAGUCCACGCCGUAAACGAUGCUAACUCGUUUUUGGGCUUUAGGGUUCAGAGACCAAGCGAAAGUGAUAAGUUAGCCACCUGGGGAGUACGCUCGCAAGAGUGAAACUCAAAGGAAUUGACGGGGGCCCGCACAAGCGGUGGAUUAUGUGGUUUAAUUCGAUGAUACGCGAGGAACCUUACCAAGACUUAAAUGGGAAUUGACAGCUUUAGAAAUAGAGCUUUCUUCGGACAAUUUUCAAGGUGCUGCAUGGUUGUCGUCAGCUCGUGCCGUGAGGUGUUAGGUUAAGUCCUGCAACGAGCGCAACCCCUGUCACUAGUUGCCAUCAUUCAGUUGGGGACUCUAGUGAGACUGCCUACGCAAGUAGAGAGGAAGGUGGGGAUGACGUCAAAUCAUCACGGCCCUUACGUCUUGGGCCACACACGUAAUACAAUGGCCGGUACAGAGGGCAGCUACACAGCGAUGUGAUGCAAAUCUCGAAAGCCGGUCUCAGUUCGGAUUGGAGUCUGCAACUCGACUCUAUGAAGCUGGAAUCGCUAGUAAUCGCGCAUCAGCCAUGGCGCGGUGAAUACGUUCCCGGGCCU